rnacentral:tRNA from 1 species
GCGCGGUUAGCUCAGUGGUAGAGCGACUGAUUGACGUUCAGUAGGUCGAAGGUUCGAUCCCUUCACCGCGCA